UUGGAGGGCAAGUCUGGUGCCAGCAGCCGCGGUAAUUCCAGCUCCAAUAGCGUAUAUUAAAGUUGUUGCAGUUAAAAAGCUCGUAGUUGAAUUUCGGGAUCAAUAUGUCGGUCGUGCUUUUGGUACGUACUGGCAUCAUUGGUUUCUCCCUUCUGACAAACCAUGAUGUCAUUAAUUUGGUGUUAUGGGGAGUUAGGACUGUUACUUUGAAAAAACUAGAGUGUUUAAAGCAGGCAUUAGCUUGAAUACAUUAGCAUGGAAUAAUGAAAUAGGACGUUUGACCCUAUUUUGUUGGUUUCUAGGAUCGACGUAAUGAUUAAUAGGGAUAGUUGGGGGCAUUAGUAUUCAAUUGUCAGAGGUGAAAUUCUUGGAUUUAUUGAAGACUAACUACUGCGAAAGCAUUUGCCAAGGAUGUUUUCAUUAAUCAAGAACGAAAGUUAGGGGAUCGAAGACGAUCAGAUACCGUCGUAGUCUUAACCAUAAACUAUGCCGACUAGGGAUCGGAUGAUGUUAAUUUUUUAAUGACUCAUUCGGCGCCUUACGGGAAAC
rnacentral:rRNA from 1 species